rnacentral:rRNA from 1 species
GCCAAAAACCUAGCAUUCCAAAUUAUAAUAACAAAUAACCUCAUAUUUCUCAUAAAUUUCUAAUUAAACCAUUCUAAAAUUUUAGUAUAGGCGAUAGAAACAAUCAUAAUAGCUAUAGAAAAAGUACCGUAAGGGAAAGAUGAAAUAGAAAUGAAAUAAUUAACUAAGCAACAAAAAGCAGAGAACUUACCUCGUACCUUUUGCAUAAUGGUCUAGCCAGUCAUAAUCAAGCAAAACGAAUUUCAGUUUGACUACCCGAAACUAAGCGAGCUACUCCGAGACAGCUUUUUAGAGCAAACCCGUCUCUGUGGCAAAAGAGUGGGAAGAUCUCCGAGUAGGGGUGACAGACCAAACGAGCCUAGUGAUAGCUGGUUGCUCAGGAAAUGAAUAUAAGUUCGACCCUAAAUAUAGAUUUUUAACAAUUAAAGUAAAAAGUCUACUUAGGAUUUAUUCAAUCAGGGUACAGCCUGAUUGAAACAGGAUACAACCUAUAAUACUGGGUAAAGAUUAUAAUCUUCAAGGAAAGUUGAGUCAGUGGGCCUAAAAGCAGCCACCUGUAAAGACAGCGUCAAAGCUCACUCAAUCAUUUAACCCUUUAAUUAGUAUAACUAAUUCUAAACCCCCAAACAAUACUGAGCUAUUCUAUAAACUAUAGAAGCACUUAUGCUAGAACUAGUAAUGUGAAUACACGAUUCUCCUAAAUGUAAGUGUAAAUCAGAUCGAAUAAAUCACUGAUAAUUAACGUCCUCCCUGAGAUCCUUGCAAUAACAAAACAAGAAAACCAUGCACUUAUUACCGUUAAUCUAACACAAGAACAUUACAGGAAAGAUUAAAAGACGCAGAAGGAACUCGGCAAACUAUGAACCCCGCCUGUUUACCAAAAACAUCGCCUCUUGCUAAAAAACAUGUAUAAGAGGUCCAGCCUGCCCAGUGACUAUAUGUUCAACGGCCGCGGUAUUCUGACCGUGCAAAGGUAGCGUAAUCACUUGUCUUUUAAAUAAAGACUGGUAUGAACGGCACCACGAAGGUUCAACUGUCUCCUGCAUCCAAUCCAUUAAACUGACCUCCCCGUGCAGAGGCGGGGAUACAACCAUAAGACGAGAAGACCCUAUGGAGCUUUAAACUAAAGGCAACUGCCAACUUCAACCUAACCCAUAAGGAAAUAACAAUUAAACAAGCAGAAACUGACCUAAAGUUUUCGGUUGGGGCGACCACGGAGAAUAAAAAAUCCUCCUUGAAGAAUAGGGCCUACCACCCUUAACCAAGAACCACCAUUCUAAGUAACAAAAUUUAUGACUAUAAUUGAUCCAGUCCUACUGAUCAACGAACCAAGUUACCCUAGGGAUAACAGCGCAAUCCAUUUCAAAAGUUCCUAUCGACAAAUGGGUUUACGACCUCGAUGUUGGAUCAGGGCAUCCCAGUGGUGCAGCCGCUACUAAAGGUUCGUUUGUUCAACGAUUAAAGCCCUACGUGAUCUGAGUUCAGACCGGAGUAAUCCAGGUCAGUUUCUAUCUAUGAAGUAUUUUUUCUAGUACGAAAGGACCGAAAAAAUGAGGCCAAUGUUUUAAUAAGCCUCUCUCUAUAUCAAUGUAGUCAACUAAAUUGAAAAUAGAACUAAUACUCUGCCCAAGAUUAGGGCUA